GUGGGGGAACCCAGUGAGCUGGUUGCUCAUACAGAAUGCAGACUAUCAAGUGCCCAAGGCUUGCCCUCCCGUAGCUUCAUGGAUACGGGGAGGCGGGCGAGUCCCUGCCCUUUCCUACUCUGCAUGAACCUUUCUCAGCUCACUGGCUGGGCUGCCCUACUAAUUGGAUGGAGCAACUGGGCCAGACUGGGGAAGUGGGCGGUGAGGAGCAGAACGCAGCCUGCCUCUUCCGGGCGCCCAGGCCAGUCCUACAGCGACUUUGCUGAGCUGGCGGCCCACGCCCGGGUGCACAAUGAUGCUGACACAGACACACCCGGGAGCCUGAGGGUUGGGCCACAAGAGGGCACCGCCUCCUUCUUGCGUGCGUCACGCCGCCUUCUUGGACACGCCCCCAGGAGGCACCUGGUCCCGGCUGCCCUGUCAGUAAAAGGAGGUGCCGGUUCUCACUGCUGGAAGAUCUGUCACCAGACUUGUCAGGGGGUGCCAAUUCCUGCUUCCCACAGGACAGAGGCCCAUGGCUUGUCUGGGCAUGUCGGGACGUAUUUUGAGAGAGUGUUAACACGUUAUGGCUGUGUUCAGAAGUGGUCUCGACGCUGAAAUUCUGGAAGAGGAGCGCGAGACCUCACACCUGUGUGUGUGUGUGUGUGUGUGUGUGUGAGCGAGUCCUUCUCACAAGGCGGAGUUCUCUGGUUGUCUCGUUCACUGCUGUGUCCCCAGCAGCAGGCGCAUACGGACGCCCAGUCAAGAAGGCUGGCAGAGGUAAAUGGAGAGGACACAGCUUUGCUGGACAUUUGCUGUUGCUCCCACCCACCCCUCCAUCCACUCCGGGGAAAUCUCAAACCACGGAGCAGAACCCGCCUGUGGGAGUCAGGAAGCUGCAUCUUAGCGAUAAUUCCCCAGGGGUGUGAGGGAACGUUCUAGAAGGACUUCAGCAGGACCAGGCCCAUGAGUUUGGAGAGGCCCCAGUGACUGAUGCUCCAAAGCUGAACAAGAACAGGAAUGUAUCGGAGUUUGGAGGGUCAGUGCCAAAGGUAGAGAAGUGUGUUUAAAAUGUCCGCACAGUGGGGCAUGAUGCCUGUGGUGCAGCUGAUAUUGCAUUCACUCUGAUUCCUGGCACCGUGUGAGGGGAAGCCACAGGAGACAGCUCUACCAGCCAGACCAGGCCAAAUGGGAGAGAGGGGGCAAGCGCAGGUGACAAGUAUAAACACAGACUUGAUUUGACUCAGUCUUACAACUUGUCAGCUGUGUGAUGUUAGACAAGUCUUUUAACGUCUGUGUCUUGGCUGCCUCAUCUGUGAAGUGGAAUAAGUGAUAGAACCUAUCUCACUGAGUUGGUGUGAAGAUUGAAUGGGACAACGCUUGUGAAAGUGUUUAACACAGUGCCUGUUUUUACUUUUGGCCGAGUCACUGAACUCGGAACAGAUCCUGGCUCUGCCUAAUGCUAUCUGGGUGACCAGGGGCUGGUCACUUCACCUCUCUGAACUUCACCAUCUCACUGACCUUCAGGAGUUUUGAGGACAAAGCCAGAUGAACAAACUGCGGUGCACAGAGGAGUCAGGACUUGCCCAGAAUCAUGAAGCAGAUAGUGACACAGAUGGGACUCAAGUCCAGUGCUUCCUCAGCGGACAUUCUGGAGAAUGGAGACACUCCCGUCCUUCCUGGUGCCUGCAGGCACCACACCACUUACCACUUACCACUUCUGGCGACGGCUGCAGAACAACUUCUCCCUUCCCGAGCUACAGUGCUUCAUCUCAGACUCCCAACUGACCAGAGAUGCAGCACUGCACCUCAGGCUGGGAGACAGGACGCCAUACCACUCUGCACCAGGGGCCGAAGGCAGGGAGUCCACCCUAGGCAGGAGAAGGGGCAUUAGAGGGGCCUCGGCUCCUCCCUCCAGCUCCUGCUCUGGAGGCUGCUGCAGCUACCCUGGGUGUGCUUCCUGUCCUCAGCCUGGCAUUUGAGCCCUCUGGGACCAAGCUUCACCCUUCCUUUUCUUUUUAAACAGUUUCAUUGAGAUAUAAUCCUCCUAUUCAAAUUACACAAUGAAAUGGUUUUUU
ensembl:lncRNA